CUCUUUAAAAGAAUGCAACCAGCUUAGAGGGCUUUCUGGGUCGUUGUUGUUGUUGUUGUUUACUUGAGGGUCAUCUGACUAAACUAUAGUAAGGCUAAUAACUCUAAAGCUUAGUUCUUUCGCUGGCUUUCUCUGCAGAGCUGCAGAUGCCCAGAUGCCCAUCAGUGUCCUCAUUUAUGAAGUGUGACUUUUUAAAGAGUCAUUCUAAGAUGGCACAAUAUCAGUGCAUAUUCAGUAAUCUGGACCUAAAUCAAUUGUGCUUUGGCAGAUCAAAGGAAAGAAAUAUCAGUGAGGACAGGAAGAGCUACGAAAGAAUUCUUCAGAGAAGGUGGGGCUAAAACUGCACUUGCGAAGGAUCUGAAACAGCACAGGUGAAGUUUGUUUUUGAUUGCACAGCUGGAUUACAUCCAAGUUUCACAACCACAGAAGAAAGUCCAAAACCCCAGCUCUUCUUAUCAUUCGGCAUUUUAUGGAGCAACCACAGUGGGUUAGAAUGCUAAUAUGGUUCGACACAUUCCAGUAAAAUGAACAUAUUGCUUAACAGUUUUUUCAUCUACUAAGUGUAAAUGUAAGAGGCAAUGGAAAUCAACAAAUGGUGGUUGGUGCUUGGGGGUCACGUGACAGCAGGAGUGUCUCCCAGAAGCUUGGAGAAAAGGCCCUCAAACUCAACAAGCCUCAAGAGGGAAUAUUUCCGCUUUCGAUAUGCUCUUCCGAAGAAUGGACACACUGCCAUGAGGAAAAAUGCUGGCCAGAGAAAAGCAGUCCUCAGAGAAAGCAAUCCAAAUAUCACCCAGCAGAGCUGGGCCACCGCCAACAUCUCCAUCAGCAACUUGGAAGAGCUGUCUGUCUUCCCAACAUAAUGAAACCGGAGACAUGAGACUCCAGAGCUCCAGCUAGCACAAGUACACGAAGCCAAAGCACAUUAUCACUUGUAGGUUGCAGGAUUUACGACCAACGUGAUGUAAAAUAAAGACAGAGAUUCUUUACUGGUCCAAAUUCAUCACUCACAAAAGACAAUAUGUAUUAAUCAUAGAGAAGAGUUGUAUAUAUUGGACUUUUUAAAAUGAAAACCUUAGCAAACAGAGCAGAAGCAGAUGCCAACAUCUAUGAGAAAAAAGAAAAAUGAAAAAGAUUGCCAGUUUGUUCCUAUUCAGAAAUCUGCAAUUGAUACUGUUUAUUGUCAAAAAACGCCUUUCAAAUGCAUUGAAGCAAGAUUUUCUAUUUUGGUGGUUUCCUAGGUUUGGGAAACUUCUAACUUGAGUGAAACAGAGGAAUAGUUUCAUGUUUUAUAUUGGUAACUGAUCCAAGUACUAAGUAGUGAAGUUAGAAUGACUAUACUUCUAGAAAACUUGUAAUUUUCAUUUGCCAUGAGAAUGUUACUUCUCUGACAGUACCCCUGCCAAGAACUCUCAUAGAACUGUGCUCCUUCUCCAGCAUAGUACUCUCAGGCUUUAUUAAAGUUGCUCGUUAAUUGUGAUGCAUGACACAUGGUGUUCCU